rnacentral:rRNA from 1 species
GCAGCUACACAUGCAAGUCGAGCGGUAACACAGGGAGCUUGCUCCUGGGUGACGAGCGGCGGACGGGUGAGUAAUGUCUGGGAAACUGCCUGAUGGAGGGGGAUAACUACUGGAAACGGUAGCUAAUACCGCAUAACGUCGCAAGACCAAAGAGGGGGACCUUCGGGCCUCUUGCCAUCAGAUGUGCCCAGAUGGGAUUAGCUAGUAGGUGGGGUAAUGGCUCACCUAGGCGACGAUCCCUAGCUGGUCUGAGAGGAUGACCAGCCACACUGGAACUGAGACACGGUCCAGACUCCUACGGGAGGCAGCAGUGGGGAAUAUUGCACAAUGGGCGCAAGCCUGAUGCAGCCAUGCCGCGUGUAUGAAGAAGGCCUUCGGGUUGUAAAGUACUUUCAGCGAGGAGGAAGGCAUUAAGGUUAAUAACCUUGGUGAUUGACGUUACUCGCAGAAAAAUGACACCGGCUAACUCC